CUGGAGGCCCUGGUGAUGCAUGAGUGAUGUCACUGAGUGGUGAUGUCACAGUCAUAGCUCAGGAACAAUACCAGGGAAGGUUCAAGAGUCAGAGAAGCAGAGGCAGGUAAAGAUGACCAGCGGGCGACGAAGAUGUCAAACACAGCCACAGAAGAACUGUAAUGGUGACUUAGAGCAAUUCCUGAGUCUCCCAGUGCUCUUCCAGGGGUUUGGGGCUUGAGGGAUUUGAACAACUUCUUUGCUGCAUAGACAAUGAGUGUGAUCACUGUAGUGAGUAAAACCUUAGUUUUAACUAAAUAUUAUGGUGAUCUCUUUGAAUCUUAAGGUUCGAAGGAAGUUUGAAAGUUGUCUAACUCAGUCUCCCAAAGUCACCCAAGCAGAAGCCGAUGGGGUCUCAUUUGCCACAUCAGUACCUGAUCCAGAGCGAUGGCGCAUCUGAUGAGAAUCCAAUUCUUAUUGGAUACUGAGGCUCUUCUUGCUAUGGGUAGUUAUAGUUAGAGGUUUUUCUUUUGUUUGUUUGUUUAGAGUGUCACACAUGCUUUGUGGGCAGAGGGUGUCACAUGUCACAUGUCUAAGAGAAAGUAUGUGCCAACUAAAGGAGAAAUUCUCAGGCAACAGCAGCGUUAACUUCAGGAAUAAAUGCAUUUUUUAAAUUAUGAAGAAAAUAUUUAAGUAAGCCUCUCUUGCAUACCCAAAGGAGGCCAGGAGCUAAGUCUCAGGUAAGAGAAGAGGGGUGCACUGGUGCUGAGCUGAGGUGGAGGAAGAGACAGACAUGUCACAUAAUACUACUCAGGAGGUAUCCCAGGAAGAGCGCUUGGAAGGAUCUCCGGUGUUUGUAGACAUUUGACUCAUCAUUGGAAAGCCUCUCUUCCGUUUACCUGGAGACAAAACUGAAUAGGUGAGGAAAACUCAAGAAGAGCCCACCAGGAAGGAAACAGGAGCUUAAGGAGACUGGGUGUGGCCAUGGGAUGUAGAGGAGAGGAAAAAUUCUAUGAGUGUUGAGCCUGGUGACCCAGGAGUCAGGAGGUGGGGGAAGGUUUGUGGAAUGCACAAGAGUGGAGGAGCCACCCCAAACUGGACCUUUUUGUGAAAUCUUCUGUGAGCUGGACAAGCCUUUAAGAAUGAAUGCUUUGCGGCAGGGGUGGCAAGUAAAAAUCACUCAUUUACAGCGUACUCUAAAGAUAAAUUCAGGACUCAGUAGUUACUUUUGCCUUAUAAGUAUUGCCCCACGGUAUCCAGGGUGCUGGCUGAUGACUUUGAUGCCCCCAGAUUUAAUUAUCAUGCAACCCAUUAGCCCAGAGACAGAGGAUGUUUAGUUCAACAUGUCACGCUUGUAUGUAGUUCAUUCGGUGAAAACCAUCGCUCACAAAGGAAACCGAUUUAGAAAUGAUUCAGAAUAGGGAACCUUUAUAGUUAUGAAGCUCUGAAUUUUCAUCCUCGGAACUGGACAAUUAAAAGUUGGGCAGAAUAAUUUUAGUAUGUGAAAGCUUUUUCCACAUAGGACAAGAAAGCCUUUACCUCAUGGAUUUUGUGGAGAAAAAUUUCAGUUCACUGUUCUCCUGUUUGAAUCAUUAUGACCAAGUAGGAGAGAAUGAGGAUCUGUUCCAGUGGGAAAUAUUUAAAUUAGGAGAGAUUAAAAAAAUAUCUACAAUUAUUUUGUAUCAUCUCCAAGGGAACCUCACUUUAAUAAUAUCCUAGGAAAUUUCCAUCUGGAAUAGAAAAGACAAUGGAAUCCAAAUAUGGGUGUCCUAGUGCAUGCAUACGGUGCUGUUAGUAGCCAAACUUCUGGCUUUGUUAUGCUUUGUGAAAGUUCUAGUAGAUCUUGACCUUCGUUUUUUGGGAGACCUUCAAUAUGUUACUGAGCUGAAAUGUAGGUCCAAAUGUUAUGUUAGCCCACAGUCCAGAAUAAAUCUUUUGCAACUUU